AACGUAGGGUGCAAGCGUUGUCCGGAAUUACUGGGUGUAAAGGGAGCGCAGGCGGGAAGACAAGUUGGAAGUGAAAACCAUGGGCUCAACCCAUGAAUUGCUUUCAAAACUGUUUUUCUUGAGUAGUGCAGAGGUAGAUGGAAUUCCCGGUGUAGCGGUGGAAUGCGUAGAUAUCGGGAGGAACACCAGUGGCGAAGGCGGUCUACUGGGCACCAACUGACGCUGAGGCUCGAAAGCAUGGGUAG
rnacentral:rRNA from 1 species